AUUGAACGCUGGCGGCAUGCCUUACACAUGCAAGUCGAACGGCAGCACGGGGGCAACCCUGGUGGCGAGUGGCGAACGGGUGAGUAAAGCAUCGGAACGUAUCCUGGAGUGGGGGAUAACGUAGCGAAAGUUACGCUAAUACCGCAUAUUCUCUGAGGAGGAAAGUGGGGGACCGCAAGGCCUCACGCUUUGGGAGCGGCCGAUGUCGGAUUAGCUAGUUGGUGAGGUAAAGGCUCACCAAGGCGACGAUCCGUAGCGGGUCUGAGAGGAUGAUCCGCCACACUGGGACUGAGACACGGCCCAGACUCCUACGGGAGGCAGCAGUGGGGAAUUUUGGACAGUGGGGGCAACCCUGAUCCAGCCAUGCCGCGUGAGUGAAGAAGGCCUUCGGGUUGUAAAGCUCUUUCGGCGGGGAAGAAAUCGCACGGAUUAAUACUCUGUGUGGAUGACGGUACCCGAAUAAGAAGCACCGGCUAACUACGUG
rnacentral:rRNA from 1 species